rnacentral:rRNA from 1 species
CCUACGGGUGGCAGCAGUGAGGAAUAUUGGUCAAUGGACGAGAGUCUGAACCAGCCAAGUAGCGUGGAGGAUGACUGCCCUAUGGGUUGUAAACUUCUUUUAUAUGGGAAUAAAAUGUUCCACGUGUGGGAUUUUGUAUGUACCAUAUGAAUAAGGAUCGGCUAACUUCGUGCCAGCAGCCGCGGUAAUACGGAGGAUCCGAGCGUUAUCCGGAUUUAUUGGGUUUAAAGGGAGCGUAGGUGGAUUGUUAAGUCAGUUGUGAAAGUUUGCGGCUCAACCGUAAAAUUGCAGUUGAAACUGGCAGUCUUGAGUAAAGUAGAGGUGGGCGGAAUUCGUGGUGUAGCGGUGAAAUGCUUAGAUAUCACGAAGAACUCCGAUUGCGAAGGCAGUUCACUGGACUGCAACUGACACUGAGGCUCGAAAGUGUGGGUAUCAAACAGGAUUAGAUACCCGAGUAGUC